GAGAUUCUAGCUCAGUGGUAGAGUGCUUGCCUAGCAAGCAUAAAGCCCUGGGUUCAAUUCCCAAUACUAUCC
rnacentral:tRNA from 1 species